UGAGAGCGGCGGACGGGUGAGUAAUGCCUAGGAAUCUGCCUAGUGGUGGGGGAUAACGUUCGGAAACGGACGCUAAUACCGCAUACGUCCUACGGGAGAAAGCGGGGGAUCUUCGGACCUCGCGCCAUUAGAUGAGCCUAGGUCGGAUUAGCUAGUUGGUGAGGUAAUGGCUCACCAAGGCGACGAUCUGUAACUGGUCUGAGAGGAUGAUCAGUCACACUGGAACUGAGACACGGUCCAGACUCCUACGGGAGGCAGCAGUGGGGAAUAUUGGACAAUGGGCGAAAGCCUGAUCCAGCCAUGCCGCGUGUGUGAAGAAGGUCUUCGGAUUGUAAAGCACUUUAAGUUGGGAGGAAGGGUAGUAACUUAAUACGUUGCUACUUUGACGUUACCGACAGAAUAAGCACCGGCUAACUUCGUGCCAGCAGCCGCGGUAAUACGAAGGGUGCAAGCGUUAAUCGGAAUUACUGGGCGUAAAGCGCGCGUAGGUGGUUCAGUAAGUUGGAAGUGAAAUCCCCGGGCUCAACCUGGGAACUGCUUUCAAAACUGCUGAGCUAGAGUACGGUAGAGGGUGGUGGAAUUUCCUGUGUAGCGGUGAAAUGCGUAGAUAUAGGAAGGAACACCAGUGGCGAAGGCGACCACCUGGACUGAUACUGACACUGAGGUGCGAAAGCGUGGGGAGCAAACAGGAUUAGAUACCCGUGGUAGUCCACGCCGUAAACGAUGUCAACUA
rnacentral:rRNA from 1 species